rnacentral:misc_RNA from 1 species
GAUUGAAGAACGCAGCGAAAUGCGAUAAUUAAUGUGAAUUGCAGAAUUCCGUGAAUCAUCGAGUCUUUGAACGCACAUUGCGCCUCAUGGCAUUCCGUGAGGCAUGCCCAUCUCAGCGUUAGAAAAUAUUCUCAAAUUUUAGUUUUGUGCUAAAAUUUGGAUCAUGUCAAGGAAGCUAUUACUAUUAUUGUGAUCGCUCUUUGGAAAUUGAUAGGUCUUUGAGUUGCUACUCAUAGAACGUGAUGAAUCUUUCUUCGUUCUAUUGUAAUUCACUCUGGUAGUCCUAAAACUUGUAUGCCUGUGGCAUAUCUUGUAAUUUGACCUGAGAUUGGGUAGGGAUACCCGCUGAACUUAAGCAUAUCAAUAAGCGGAGGA